GAUGAACGCUGGCGGCGUGCCUAAUACAUGCAAGUCGAGCGAACGGACGAGAAGCUUGCUUCUCUGAUGUUAGCGGCGGACGGGUGAGUAACACGUGGAUAACCUACCUAUAAGACUGGGAUAACUUCGGGAAACCGGAGCUAAUACCGGAUGAUAUUUUGAACCGCAUGGUUCAAAAGUGAAAGACGGUCUUGCUGUCACUUAUAGAUGGAUCCGCGCUGCAUUAGCUAGUUGGUAAGGUAACGGCUUACCAAGGCAACGAUGCAUAGCCGACCUGAGAGGGUGAUCGGCCACACUGGGACUGAGACACGGUCCAGACUCCUACGGGAGGCAGCAGUAGGGAAUCUUCCGCAAUGGGCGAAAGCCUGACGGAGCAACGCCGCGUGAGUGAUGAAGGUCUUCGGAUCGUAAAACUCUGUUAUUAGGGAAGAACAUAUGUGUAAGUAACUGUGCACAUCUUGACGGUACCUAAUCAGAAAGCCACGGCUAACUACGUG
rnacentral:rRNA from 1 species